UAUAUCAAAUUAGAGGAAGACGCCAUCCUUUCUUCUUCUUGGAGUGGAUUAGUUCUUCUUGGUGUAUCUCCCCCAGAGACCCACAGCCAGAUAAGCCUCUGGUUUCACUAAUAAGCUCCCAGUGAACCGGUCUAUUCCUGUACCUGUCUACUCAGGCUCCUUCUGCAUAGCACAACCCGUAAGAAUGCCUCAGCACACAAAAAUGUACUUCAUCACUCCUCAGAGCAAGAUGGCUUCUUGGAUCAAUGUUUUAUUUCUUCCCUCCCUUGGCCGUGACACUAAACAGACUCAGAAUAAACUGUCUCCGACUGAACAAGCAAGAAAUUAUUCUCAGGCCAAGACACUUUGUUCUUCAAAGCUGUUUCACUCUUUUGCUUGUAAGAAUCAAAGACUCAGAGACCACAUUUAGGAGCAUAAAGAUGAGCGUUCAGGAAGAAACUGAGAGGAAUAUUCUUCCCUUGUUAAUCUGGGUCUGCCACACUAAUAGCUCUUCAUGGCACCAAGAAGGCAUCUUCUGCAUGGGGGCCCUAGUGCUGCAAAAAGAUCAACUCACUGGCAAUGAGGGAACUGGCACUUGUGUAUCUCCAGAGGAAAGGGCCAUGCAAGAGGACUCCCAUUUUCCUUCCCCUCCUAAUGAAUGUCAUGGAGUCACCCUGCGUUGCCGUGAGAAGACAGAUAGGUGAGAAAAUCCCAAGAGCAUCCUGCUUGCACACUGCUCUCCUUUCCCCACCCAGAACCCCCAUGCUUUGGUGUUGCAGUGGAAUGCUGGGUGAAGACUCUCCACUGCCAAUGUCCUUGCACCAUCGUCUGUAGACCACCGAAUGCAAUCCAUUUUGGACCAGACAGGAGCAUCCUUCAUCCCUGUAUUGGCUUUGUUUCCCAGGUUAGGAACAAGGAUUCAAGAGAAAUGCACUCAUCAACCAGCAA
rnacentral:lncRNA from 1 species